rnacentral:rRNA from 1 species
GUGCCAGCCGCCGCGGUAAUACGUAGGCAGCGAGCGUUGUUCGGAGUUACUGGGCGUAAAGGGUGCGUAGGCGGCCCCUUAAGUUUGGUGUGAAAUCUCCCGGCUCAACUGGGAGGGUGCGCCGGAUACUGAGGGGCUUCGAGUGCGGGAAGGGAAAGUAGAAUUCCUGGUGUAGCGGUGAAAUGCGUAGAUAUCAGGAGGAAUACCGGUAGUGCAAACGGCUUUCUGGACCGUAACUGACGCUGAGGCACGAAAGCGUGGGGAGCAAACAGGAUUAGAUACCCUGGUAGUCCACGCCCUAAACGAUGCAUGUUUGGUGUGGGUGAUUCAGUUCAUCCGUGCCGGAGCUAACGCGUUAAACAUGCCGCCUGGGGAGUACAGUCGCAAGGCUGAA